rnacentral:tRNA from 1 species
ACUCCUGUAGCCCAAUUGGUAGUAGGCGACUGUCUCAAAAACAGUUCAUGUGUGGGUUCGACUCCCACCAGGAGUA